UGCAAACCAUUUGACUCAUGUAAGUUGAUGCGUGAGCAAAAAGAAAACAUGAAUAAAACAAAUGUUCCCUAAAAGCCAAUAGAAUUUCUACCAAACAAGUAUACCAAACUUUAACAAGUAUAACAAACUUUCUCGACUUCAUUUUACAUGAUUCAAUACAUAAUGGAACCUAAAUGCAGUCCAAUAGAAAACUCAUAUAUGGUGCUUUGGAAUAGAUAAAUCAACACCAUAUACACAAGUGUUUUGGGCGAAAGAUACAUGACAAUUAAUUCUAUUGAUUUAAUUUGUCUACAGGUGCCAUGGGCAGUAAAUCCAAUGGAAAGAAACUUGAAAUAAAUUUUAUGCCAGACCAGAAGUAGAGAAAUAUGUGUUUCAUGAUGUCAGAUUGAACCCAAAUUAUUCAGUCAAAACAGAUGUUCCUUUUCCACCCAAGCUGUGUGGGGAGCUACUUAUUACUUGUAUUAAAUUAAUGCAUCAAGGAAUUUCUGAACUGGAGCAUCAUGUAAAGAAAGAAAUUCUCAUCUCUUGAGAUCCUUUUGAGUAAUUUCUCAGUUAAUGCAAGUUCAUGCACAAAUUGCAUGUGUAUCACUUGGUUAUGCAGAUUUCUUGAAAGCAUAGAUGUGAAGUUGGGUUUUCAAACACUUGGACAGUUAUUUUGGCUAUUCUGAUUAUGCUUUCUUUAGAAAUCUCAACUAUCAGACAGAAUACUAAAGUAACAUUCGAGGCAUACUAAGCUAAUGGUAAACAGAAACUCAUUCAUGGCAUGACUAACUUUUGAUCAAGAUGGGCUAGAACUUCUCCCCCAGGUAAAGCCAAUUUGGUAGCCUCAAAUGCAACUUUGAUUGAUUCCCUCCAAGUUCCACCCACAGCAUUAGCAUUCACUGGUACUGUUGGUUGGCUAGGAAUAGGAUAUUCCAUUGGUAAGGAAUACCCAGAGAGCAGAUGGCCUACCCAAACACCAUCUUUUCUGAAUGGGCAGAAAAUUGAUUUAAAAGAAUAAUACUUGGAAUUUGGAGAAAUUUAAAAGUUCAAGAGAAUAAAGUACAAAAUAAUGACUCAAGAUCUCAUUGGCUACAUGUAACAUAUGGAAACUCACAAAACAACGUCCAGAUGCCGUGGCACAUAAUGCCCACCACCUAUUCCAAGAAGGAUUUUGCUUCUGCCGUUAUUCCUGCAUUAUUCAAAGAGUGAUUUGCAACUAUAAAGAUAGAAGCACCCAGGUUUUUGGCAUAUUAAUAUUACUCUUUCUUUUAUUUCCUUUUAAAUUUUUUCGCUAAAGUUUUUUAUAUAUAUUUUUAUAAAACAUGAAAAAAACUAUAAUACAGACUGUGCCAAUACAUUGCGAAUUUGCAGUUUAACUACUUUGGCCUACAUAGACCGAGUCUAUGCAACAAUUACACCAGAUGAAGAACAUUAACAGCAUUAACUACUAAUGCUAUUUUUCUUGAGGAAAAAUGAAAAAGAAAGAAAAAGUAUAUUUAUUUAUUCAAAUUCUCAACAAAUCAAGAAAAAUUAUCUCUACCAUGAUAGAAAAACCAAAGAAGUCGUUGACAUGGAAAAAGGAUGGUAAGAAGGCACAAAAAUAAUUGCAUUCACUCAAACUAAUAACAUGGUCAAACAUGCUACUAUAACACAAGCAGAACCCCCUAACACAAGAAACCAAGAAGGAACUUCCAGAUUCACGCUUAACAAUAAGGAUCCUCAUAAGUGAACACAGCCUCAUGCAAAGCCGUUGCUCUAAACAAAAUUAUUUUUAUGUACCUAGGCCAGUCUCCCACAGCAAUGCCAUCUCCAAGACCCAAUCCUUGCCACACUA
rnacentral:misc_RNA from 1 species